AUUGAACGCUAGCGGGAUGCUUUACACAUGCAAGUCGAACGAGUGGCGGACGGGUGAGUAAUAUAUCGGAACGUGCCCAGUAGCGGGGGAUAACUACUCAAAAGAGUGGCUAAUAACGCAUACUAUUGGAGCGGCCGAUAUCGGAUUAGCUAGUUGUGGGGGUAAAGGCUCACAAAGGCAACGAUCAUUAGCUGGUUUGAGAGGACGACCAGCCACACCGGGAGUGACACACGGCCCAGACUCCUCCGGGAGGAAGCAGUGGGGAAUUUUGGACAAUGGGGGAAACCCUGAUCCAGCCAUCCCGCGUGUAUGAGAAGGCCUUCGGGUUGUAAAGUACUUUUGGCAGAGAGGCGGUAUCUGCAGAAUAAGCACCGGCUAACUACGUGCCAGCAGCCGCGGUAAUAC
rnacentral:rRNA from 1 species